rnacentral:rRNA from 1 species
UUGAACGCUGGCGGCCUGCUUUACACAUGCAAGUCGAACGGCAGCGCGGGCUUCGGCCUGGCGGCGAGUGGCGAACGGGUGAGUAAUACAUCGGAACGUGCCCAGUAGUGGGGGAUAGCUCGGCGAAAGCCGGAUUAAUACCGCAUACGACCUGAGGGUGAAAGCGGGGGAUCUUCGGACCUCGCGCUAUUGGAGCGGCCGAUGGCAGAUUAGCUAGUUGGUGGGGUAAAGGCCUACCAAGGCGACGAUCUGUAGCUGGUCUGAGAGGACGACCAGCCACACUGGGACUGAGACACGGCCCAGACUCCUACGGGAGGCAGCAGUGGGGAAUUUUGGACAAUGGGCGAAAGCCUGAUCCAGCAAUGCCGCGUGUGUGAUGAAGGCCUUCGGGUUGUAAAGCACUUUUGGCGGGAACGAAAAGGACUGUGCCAAUACCACGGUUCGAUGACGGUACCCGCAGAAUAAGCACCGGCUAACUACGUG